GAUGAAGAACGUAGCGAAAUGCGAUAAGUAAUGUGAAUUGCAGAAUCCAGUGAAUCAUCGAAUCUUUGAACGCACAUUGCGCCCGCCAGCAUUCUGGCGGGCAUGCCUGUUCGAGCGUCAUUUCAACCCUCGACCUCCCUUUGGGGAAGUCGGCGUUGGGGACCGGCAGCACACCGCCGGCCCUGAAAUGGAGUGGCGGCCCGUCCGCGGCGACCUCUGCGUAGUAAUCCAACUCGCACCGGAACCCCGACGCGACCACGCCGUAAAACACCCAACUUCUGAACGUUGACCUCGAAUCAGGUAGGACUACCCGCUGAACUUAAGCAUAUCAAUAAGCGGAGGA
rnacentral:misc_RNA from 1 species